ACAGAAGUUCCUUCGGCUCCAGGUUCUUUCAUACCAGUACUGGAUUGGAUUGUCAUAUAAUAAAACAGAAAAGGAAUGGUCAUGGAUUGACAAUGGCCAAUCUGAAUUAUCCUUGAACCUAAAGAAAUACAAUGUAAAGGAUGGAGACUGUAUGUUCUUGUCUAAAACAAGACUAGAAAAUGCUAUGUGCUCCAGCCCCUACCCAUGUAUUUGUCAGAAGAGACUGGAUAAGUUCCCUCAUUGACUCUCCAACAAGAGUUAAAGGAUUUACUCUGCUGUGCAAACAGAGAGAUGAGCUGGAAGAGUGUGGGAAUGUUCUCUGGAAUCUGAUAUGGCAGAGCAGAGGCUUCUUCCAUCCUGGUGAAGACAGGACACAUUUUCUCUGGUGCACGGACAUGGUUUGCUUCAAAGUCUCCAGGACUCUGCACUUUCUGAUUUCUUAAACUCUUAUACAAUUAAAUCAAAUCCCAAUAACCAACCUGUAUAUUUCAUUAUGAUUAGAAUAAAUCCUGUUACUUGAAAUUGGCCUGGUGGAUCAAGAGUUAAGGGUCAUUUAUAGCUACACCCUGAAUUUGAGUACAGUUCAGAUUACAUGAGACCCUGUUUGAAAACAAAACAUAAAAAAUAAACAAAAAAUUUCCUGACCCCACUCCCCCAAACAAGCAAACCAACAAGAAACUGAAAAUCCUCUUGGUAUAAUUGUCAAUUUUCAUUUAAGAAACCCACCUUUGACUUUUGUGUAAAGGAUAAGGAGGGGAUCUGAGAAGUGAAGGAGAGAAUGGAAUGCGGGAAGGAUCUUUGUGAGGAGUUUCUGGGCAUACAGGAGGUGCUGACAUUGGGAUUUGUAAAGUGAAUAAAUAAAUAAAUUUAAAAAUACAGUAUAAUUAUGAGAUAGAAUGUAGAUGUAGGUUUUGGUUUUUUAUAUGUUAGAUGAUACUAUUUUGUUUGGAUUUGAAUUUUUCAUCUAGAUUUUUUUCUAGUUGUUAUGAACAUUGCUUUUGGAGAUAAAAUAUAAUUUUAAAUUUGUUGAACAUUUGCAAACAUAUUUCAAGGAACUGCUGAAUAUAUUUUAUCUAAGGCAUCAGUUAUUCCACCCACCUACUUUAAUCCAUCUCUCAUGAGUUGUGGCCUUGUAGAAAUGAUGGUAAUAAUUGAAGUUGGUGAGAUGUAGUGGCUUACACUGUGACUUUGGCAGUUAAGAAGCUAUGAAGUGAUCGCUGAAAAAUAAAUAAAGGGAGAGCUUACACCAUAGAACCAAACAAACCAAAUAAAAUCAAGACAUGUAUGUCCCUCAAUAUUUUCCAGGGCAACACUUUGUAUUAUAUAAGUACACACAAAUGACUAAUCUCAGGAUUAGUAAGAGUAAAUUGUUCUAAUCUAGGAUGUGUGUACCUAUCCGCUGCUGGAUAAUAUCACUCUAGGCAUUUUAUCAAUGUUCAUGAUCCUGUUCAUUGAGUGAUGGUAUCAUUUUAGUGUUCCACUGUCCUUAAUAUUUUUUUAUGUUUUCAGAUGUUUAAUAUUUGGUGGUGAU